rnacentral:rRNA from 1 species
AGAGUUUGAUCCUGGCUCAGGAUGAACGCUAGCGGCAGGCUUAAUACAUGCAAGUCGUGGGGCAGCAUGACUGUAGCAAUACAGUUGAUGGCGACCGGCAAACGGGUGCGGAACACGUACACAACCUUCCUUUUAGUGGAGAAUAGCCCAGGGAAACUUGGAUUAAUACUCCGUAACAUAUAGAAGUGGCAUCACUUUUAUAUUAUAGCAGCAAUGCGCUAGAAGAUGGGUGUGCGGCUGAUUAGAUAGUUGGCGGGGUAACGGCCCACCAAGUCGACGAUCAGUAACUGGUGUGAGAGCACGACCAGUCACACGGGCACUGAGACACGGGCCCGACUCCUACGGGAGGCAGCAGUAAGGAAUAUUGGUCAAUGGACGCAAGUCUGAACCAGCCAUGCCGCGUGGAGGAUGAAGGUCCUCUGGAUUGUAAACUUCUUUUAUUUGGGAAGAAAUCCAUUUUUUCUAAAAUGGUUGACGGUACCAGAUGAAUAAGCACCGGCUAACUCCGUGCCAGCAGCCGCGGUAAUACGGAGGGUGCAAGCGUUAUCCGGAUUCACUGGGUUUAAAGGGUGCGUAGGUGGGCAAGUAAGUCAGUGGUGAAAUCUCCGGGCUUAACCCGGAAACUGCCAUUGAUACUAUUUGUCUUGAAUACUGUGGAGGUCAGCGGAAUAUGUCAUGUAGCGGUGAAAUGCUUAGAUAUGACAUAGAACACCAAUUGCGAAGGCAGCUGGCUACACAAAUAUUGACACUGAGGCACGAAAGCGUGGGGAUCAAACAGGAUUAGAUACCCUGGUAGUCCACGCCCUAAACUAUGGAUACUCGACAUUUGCGAUAAACUGCAAGUGUCUGAGCGAAAGCAUUAAGUAUCCCACCUGGGAAGUACGAUCGCAAGAUUGAAACUCAAAGGAAUUGACGG